AUUUUCAUUGCAUAUUUCUUCAUCUGUUGGCCUUCUUUUGGUCAAAACCUCCAUCAACAUGAUGCCGUAACUAUAAACAUCACCACUAGUGCACACUAU